UGGGGAAUCUUGGACAAUGGGCGCAAGCCUGAUCCAGCCAUGCCGCGUGGAUGAUGAAGGCCUUAGGGUUGUAAAAUCCUUUCGUUGGGGACGAUAAUGACGGUACCCAAAGAAGAAGCUCCGGCUAACUACGUGCCAGCAGCCGCGGUAAUACGUAGGGUGCAAGCGUUAAUCGGAAUUACUGGGCGUAAAGCGUGCGCAGGCGGUUGUGUAAGUCAGAUGUGAAAUCCCCGGGCUCAACCUGGGAAUUGCAUUUGAGACUGCACGGCUAGAGUGUGUCAGAGGGGGGUAGAAUUCCACGUGUAGCAGUGAAAUGCGUAGAUAUGUGGAGGAAUACCGAUGGCGAAGGCAGCCCCCUGGGAUAACACUGACGCUCAUGCACGAAAGCGUGGGGAGCAAACAGGAUUAGAUACCCGGUAGUCCCUGAGCGGGCUGGCAAGGCGCAU
rnacentral:rRNA from 1 species